rnacentral:lncRNA from 1 species
UUCCUCUCUUCAACUGUUCUGUAGGAUAAGGAGCCCCGUGGAAUCAUCCCUUUAGAGAAUCUGAGUAUCCGGGAAGUGGAGGACUCCAAAAAACCAAACUGCUUUGAGCUUUAUAUCCCCGACAAUAAAGACCAAGUUAUCAAGGCCUGCAAGACCGAGGCUGACGGGCGGGUGGUGGAGGGGAACCACACUGUUUACCGGAUCUCAGCUCCGACGCCCGAGGAGAAGGAGGAGUGGAUUAAGUGCAUUAAAGCAGCCAUCAGCAGGGACCCUUUCUACGAAAUGCUCGCAGCACGGAAAAAGAAGGUCUCCUCCACGAAGCGACACUGAGCGUGCAGCCAAGGGCGUUGGUCUGCGGGGGCCUUGGAGCUCCUGCUCUUCUCCCGCACCUCCAUGGAUGCACUGCUGCCGAGCAGAGCGUCCUCUGCCAGGCCCCGCCCUGGAUUCCUAGAGACUAGCUUCAGCUUUUGCUAUUUUUUUUAAGUGGGAGAAGGGUGGGCAGUUAUCACUGGGGAAGAGAGGACCGGCCACCUGUCCAGCAUGGGCUCCAGAGCCUUCCUCUCUCACAGGGCA